rnacentral:rRNA from 1 species
CUUUAUUUGAGAGUUUGAUCCUGGCUCAGGAUGAACGCUGGCGGCGUGCCUAAUACAUGCAAGUCGAGCGAAUGGAUUAAGAGCUUGCUCUUAUGAAGUUAGCGGCGGAC